CAAAAUUCAUCAUCCCUCUCUUGCAAAUAACUUCCCAUGAAAGAGAAAGAAGCAAUAUGUCUGUCAUUACUGCCAUUCGGCCUCUAGAGUUCUUGGUUGUUGAGAGAGAGAGAGAGAGAGAGAGAGGAAACUUCUGGGCUUCCUUCGAGUUCAUUCAGAGGUUCUUGUAGGAGAUCUGAUCAGUGACUGAAGAACAGGAAAAUGACAAAGAAAUUUUUGGUUUUAUUGCAGUGCUUUUCCUUGUUAACAUAUUAUCAGGUUUCUUUGUUUGAAGAUAAUCAUUCUUCAUUUUUCUUGUUUAACAUAUUAUCAGGGUAUUUCUCUCUCUCUCUCUCUCUC